rnacentral:rRNA from 1 species
GUGGGGAAUUUUGGACAAUGGGGGCAACCCUGAUCCAGCAAUGCCGCGUGCAGGAAGAAGGCCUUCGGGUUGUAAACUGCUUUUGUACGGAACGAAACGGUCCUGGUUAAUACCUGGGGCUAAUGACGGUACCGUAAGAAUAAGCACCGGCUAACUACGUGACAGCAGCCGCGGUAAUACGUAGGGUGCAAGCGUUAAUCGGAAUUACUGGGCGUAAAGCGUGCGCAGGCGGUUUUGUAAGACAGGCGUGAAAUCCCCGGGCUCAACCUGGGAAUGGCGCUUGUGACUGCAAGGCUGGAGUGCGGCAGAGGGGGAUGGAAUUCCGCGUGUAGCAGUGAAAUGCGUAGAUAUGCGGAGGAACACCGAUGACGAAGGCAAUCCCCUGGGCCUGCACUGACGCUCAUGCACGAAAGCGUGGGGAGCAAACAGGAUUAGAAACCCGAGUAGUCC